rnacentral:rRNA from 1 species
AACGAACGCUGGCGGCGUGCCUAACACAUGCAAGUCGAGCGCGAAUGGGAGCAAUCCCUAGUAGAGCGGCGGACGGGUGCGUAACACGUGGGUAAUCUGCCUCAGAACCUGGGACAACCUGCCGAAAGGCUGGCUAAUACCGGAUAAGACCACGAGCUCCUCGGAGCUUGGGGUAAAAGGUGGCCUCUGUAUACAAGCUAUCAUUCUGAGAUGAGCCCGCGGCCCAUCAGCUAGUUGGCGAGGUAACGGCUCACCAAGGCAACGACGGGUAGCUGGUCUGAGAGGACGAUCAGCCACACUGGAACUGAGACACGGUCCAGACUCCUACGGGAGGCAGCAGUGGGGAAUUUUGCACAAUGGGCGAAAGCCUGAUGCAGCAACGCCGUGUGUGUGAUGAAGGUCUUCGGAUUGUAAAGCACUUUCGACCGGGACGAAAAACCCUGAGCUAAUAUCUCAGGGCCUGACGGUACCGGGAGAAGAAGCACCGGCUAACUCUGUGCCAGCAGCCGCAGUAAGAC